rnacentral:tRNA from 1 species
GCCCAGAUAGCUCAGUCGGUAGAGCGUUAGGCUUUUGACCUAACAGUUCAGGGUUCCCGCCCCUGUCCGGGCG